rnacentral:rRNA from 1 species
GGGCCAGUAGGUUGGUCGUGCCACCGGUACGUACUGGUCUCACUGAUUCCUCCUUCCUGAAGAACCGUAAUGCCAUUAAUUUGGUGUUGCGGGGAAACAGGACUGUUACUUUGAAAAAAUUAGAGUGUUUAAAGCAAGCUAACGCUUGAAUACAUUAGCAUGGAAUAAUGGAAUAGGACGAUCGAUCCUAUUUUGUUGGUUUCUAGGAUUGACGUA